UGCAGCCAGGCCGCCCGGGACGCAUGUGUGUCACCACCACCUAAGCGUUCAUCAGGAGGAACAUCGUGUGGAGACUUGUGUGCACUUGGACAGCCUAUCCUCACACGGGCAUAAGGGCAGUAAGAUCUGACAUAAAACGAAUAACGUGUUGUUCCAUAACCUGGCUUUCAAAAAAUGACAUUUCCUUCUGGCAGGCCUCUCUCGGUCCCCGCCCAGAGAAAAUGCCUCUCAGCCUACUAUCACAGGCUGUUUUUGUAAUGUAACAAUGUGUCCAGACUGUAUUAGGAAUAUGGCUGUAAACCUGCAGGCUAGAAAAGCUUUGUAACCAUGCAUUCACCCGUGUAUCUCCUAGGCCAUGACGAAGCAAUCGUACUGAGUACACCAGGCCAUCAUGAAGCAUUCACCCUUCAUUGGUUACUGGACAACAAGAGAGUUUGAACAGUUAAGUGUUCUGGGGACCAAACCUUAUACAUGGAUUUUCAAUUGUGGGCAGGGUGGAACCCCGAACACCAAGUUGUUCUACGGUCAGCUCUACUCAUCCUUGGGGAAGAACGAAGCAAGCACGACCUUUGUGAACAACAGAAAAGAGGAAAAUAGAAAUAGAUUUUCUGUUUUAA